AUUGAACGCUGACGGCAGGCCUAACACAUGCAAGUCGAGCGGCAGCGGGAAAGUAGCUUGCUACUUUUGCCGGCGAGCGGCGGACGGGUGAGUAAUGCCUGGGGAUCUGCCCAGUCGAGGGGGAUAACAGUUGGAAACGACUGCUAAUACCGCAUACGCCCUACGGGGGAAAGGAGGGGACCUUCGGGCCUUUCGCGAUUGGACGAACCCAGGUGGGAUUAGGUAGUUGGUGGGGUAAUGGCUCACCAAGGCGACGAACCCUAGCUGGUCUGAGCGGAUGAUCAGCCACACUGGAACGUAGACACGGUCCAGACUCCUACGGGAGGCAGCAGUGGGGAAUAUUGCACAAUGGGGGAAACCCUGAUGCAGCCAUGCCGCGUGUGUGAAGAAGGCCUUCGGGUUGUAAAGCACUUUCAGUGAGGAGGAAAGGUUGUUGGCUAAUAUCCAGCAACUGUGACGUUACUCGCAGAAGAAGCACCGGCUAACUCCGUGCCAGCCGCCGCCGUAA
rnacentral:rRNA from 1 species